UACGGAGGAUGCGAGCGUUAUCCGGAUUUAUUGGGUUUAAAGGGUGCGUAGGCGGCCUAUUAAGUCAGUGGUGAAAUCCUGCCGCUUAACGGUAGAACAGCCAUUGAUACUGAUGGGCUUGAGUUUGGUUGAGGUAGGCGGAAUGUGUUGUGUAGCGGUGAAAUGCUUAGAUAUGACACAGAACACCGAUUGCGAAGGCAGCUUACCAAGCCAUUACUGACGCUGAUGCACGAAAGCGUGGGGAGCGAACAGG
rnacentral:rRNA from 1 species